rnacentral:tmRNA from 1 species
UCCGAAGAUUUUGGCUUGCGUUAGGGCAGAAAAGGUACUUCAAGCACCCGGCUCUAUCUAAGAUAAGCUUGGAUACGCUUGUAGAGGCUGUAUGAAAAGUUCUCAAGACGGGGGUUCGAUUCCCCCCAUCUCCACCA